UAGGGAACCUUCCGCAAUGGACGAAAGUCUGACGGAGCAACGCCGCGUGAGUGAUGAAGGCUUUCGGGUCGUAAAACUCUGUUGUUAGGGAAGAACAAGUACGAGAGUAACUGCUCGUACCUUGACGGUACCUAACCAGAAAGCCACGGCUAACUACGUGCCAGCAGCCGCGGUAAUACGUAGGUGGCAAGCGUUAUCCGGAAUUAUUGGGCGUAAAGCGCGCGCAGGCGGUUUCUUAAGUCUGAUGUGAAAGCCCACGGCUCAACCGUGGAGGGUCAUUGGAAACUGGGGAACUUGAGUGCAGAAGAGAAAAGCGGAAUUCCACGUGUAGCGGUGAAAUGCGUAGAGAUGUGGAGGAACACCAGUGGCGAAGGCGGCUUUUUGGUCUGUAACUGACGCUGAGGCGCGAAAGCGUGGGGAGCAAACAGGAUUAGAUACCCUGGUAGUCCACGCCGUAAACGAUGAGUGCUAAGUGUUAGAGGGUUUCCGCCCUUUAGUGCUGCAGCUAA
rnacentral:rRNA from 1 species